rnacentral:lncRNA from 1 species
UGCCCAUAUUUCUCUAUGCCCAAGAGAGGAAUUGAUUGUUGGCACCAUCUAGUUACCAUAAAAAUUAGAUUAGUUUUUCAUCUUAUCUCUAUCUUUGAUUUAAAUCAAAUUCAAACUAGAAAAGAGAUCAAGAGAUAAGGUGGAUGACUCAUCAACCAACUAUCUACCAUAACAAUCUUUCUCUCUCGUAUCUGUGUCCAAAACUCUCAUGCAAAUUAUUUCUCAUGCCAAAACAUUUUUGUCAUGGAAUAUGGAGCGUGAAAACCAAAAGGGGGGGCGGUGGAGAGAGAGUCCCAGCUCCAAUGGACUCUUGGGUUUUCAAAUUUGAAUUAAACUGAAUCUGAUUCGAUUUGAUCCGAAUAAGAAGAAGAAAUCUAAUCAAAUUAGGAACUCAAUAUCCUCAAUUAAAUCCUAAUCUUAUUAAGAAUUAACUGAACCUAAGUUUUGAUCAAAUCAAGAAUUAAUCUCCCUCGCAAUUGGGCUCGAUCUAAUCAAAUCCAACGUAGUCAAAUUGAAUCCAAUUUAAUUAGACUUGAUCCGAAUCUCAAUUACUCAAUCAAAUUGAGUU